CACCAUGGGACUGGGACCCCCAUCAUGGGGACAAGGUGACCCCCAAGACCCCCAUCCUGGACCUGGGACCCCCAUCAUGGGGACAUGGUGAUGUUGGGACCCCCAUCCUGGACCUGAGACCCCCAUCAUGGGGACAUGGUGACUUUGGGACCCCCAUCCUGGAGUUGAGACCCCCCCCCAUUGGGGAUAUGGUGACGUUGGGACCCCCAUCAUGGGGACAUGGUGACGUUGGGACCCCCAUCCUGAGGACGCCAUGGGACCGGGACCCCCAUCAUGGGGACAAAGUGACCC